UGUAGGGUGAUGAAACUGGCAGACAUGCCCUCCGGUCUCGGGGGUGGAGGUCACGGGAUAAAUUCUUUCAGGUAUCCAAUAACACUUAAAGCACUAACCGCUCCGUGGAGGUUCGAAUCCUCCCUCUACAGCCA
rnacentral:tRNA from 1 species